rnacentral:rRNA from 1 species
UACAGAGGUCUCAAGCGUUGUUCGGAUUCAUUGGGCGUAAAGGGUGCGUAGGCGGCGCGGUAAGUCGGGUGUGAAAUCUCGGAGCUUAACUCCGAACUGCAUUCGAUACUGCCGUGCUUGAGGACUGGAGAGGAGACUGGAAUUUACGGUGUAGCGGUGAAAUGCGUAGAUAUCGUAAGGAAGACCAGUGGCGAAGGCGGGUCUCUGGACAGUUCCUGACGCUGAGGCACGAAGGCCAGGGAGCAACGGG